rnacentral:rRNA from 1 species
UACGUAGGGUGCAAGCGUUAUUCGGAAUUACUGGGCGUAAAGCGUGCGUAGGCGGUUAUGCGAGUCAGGUGUGAAAUCCCCGGGCUUAACCUGGGAACUGCAUUUGAGACUGCAUAGCUAGAGUACGGUAGGGGGGGAUGGAAUUCCGCGUGUAGCAGUGAAAUGCGUAGAUAUGCGGAGGAACACCGAUGGCGAAGGCGAGCCCCUGGACCUGUACUGACGCUCAUGCACGAAAGCGUGGGGAGCAAACAGG